UCCCUGCCCAAACGCAUACCUGAAGUUUGAACAUUGAAUCCUGUUCUUCGUCGAUUCUUCUUCGGACGCUAGGGUUUUGGUUUUGCAUCGGAUCGCUUGAUUCGGAAAGAUGAACGUGGGCGACCUCAACAAAGUUUGGGAAAUCAAGCCCCUCAAGAAGGUCGGAGAAGACGAGGCCAGAAAGAUCCUCGAGAGAGUCGCGAAACAGGUCCAGCCCAUCAUGCGCAAGCACAAAUGGCGGGUCAAGCUCCUCUCUGAAUUCUGCCCGAAGAGUCCAUCUCUUCUGGGGUUGAAUGUAGGAGGUGGUUUGCAAGUAAAGCUUAGGCUUCGAAGACCAAACAGGGAUUGGGAUUUCUUCCCUUUUGAUCAAAUUCUCGAUACUAUGUUGCAUGAACUCUGUCACAAUGCUCAUGGUCCUCACAAUGCCAGUUUCUACAAUCUCUGGGAUGAAAUCAGAAAGGAGUGCGAGGACCUAAUGACCAAGGGUAUAACUGGCAUUGGAGAGGGAUUUGACCUUCCUGGGAGGCGAUUGGGUGGCUUCUCCCACCAGCCUCCUCUUUCAUCUCUUCGCCGAACAGCACUAGCUGCUGCAGAAAAGAGAGCACAUUUGGGAUCUUUACUGCCCUCUGGACCCAAACGACUAGGUGGUGAUAGCUCAAUCAUGGUUGCACUUAGUCCAGUACAAGCUGCUGCAAUGGCUGCGGAAAGAAGACUACAGGAUGACAUCUGGUGUGGAUUGGAGUCUUGUGAAGCAUAUGAGGAAGGAGAAAAUAAUUUCGAUAUAUUAGAGGAUCCUGUAUGUAUGGGGCAAACUGCCAUGAACUCAAGGUUUCACAAUGGUUCUAAUGCACAAACUUCAGAUUCUGUAUCUCGAAAAAGAAGUUAUGAAUCAACUAUUGGUUCAUUAUCUCAUUCCUCUACUGGCCAUCUGGAAUCUAGUUCAGUGAAUUUAACUGGAGCUGCUUUAGGACCUGGGUCUAUGCUUUCUUUGGAGUCUGUACCUCAGAAAAUAAUCCGUGAAACAGAUGACAGUGGACUUUCUCACAGACCAAAGGGUCAUCUAAAAUCUGGUUUUGUUGAUCUAACCAAUGAUGCUUCUCCUUCUGGAUCGUCUAAUAAUGGCGCAACAGAUAAAACAAAAGAAUCGACAAUGUGGGAGUGCAUAACCUGCACCUUGUUGAAUCCGCCUCUGGCUCCCGUAUGCAGGCUUUGUGGCACCCAAAAGGCAAAAGAUGUCCAAAACAAGUACAAAUUCUGGUCAUGUAAGUUCUGUACUCUGGAAAACAGUGUGAAGCUGGAGAAAUGCAAAGCCUGUGGGCAGUGGAGAUAUUCGAACGGUCCAUCUGUGGCAACCUCUGCACCAAACGUUGGCACCUGAGGUACUGCUUCAAUUCCCAAAACCUACCAUUCUAGGGCUGUUGAAAUUCCAUAUAUAUAUAUAUAUAUACAUAUGAGGUAAUGAACUAUACGAGGCCCUUUCAGUGUCAAUGCCCAUUUCAGCAGAGCCUCAGAUGCCUACUUUUUGAGUAUUUCUGGACUGGCCGCUUGCUCAUUUUGCUGAUGUUGCGUUUUUUCCUUAGAGAUUUGUGGUUGCUGUUUCAUUGAUCAGUGGCUUUGGAUCCUCAGAUCAAUCAGAUGGAUCUUCGGUUGACCUUCUCAUCUUUAUGGGCUAGCUUGAAGAACCUCUGGUAAAGCCAUGAAGCAUGUGAUGUGACUAUUUUAUGACCUAGCCUUAACAAAUUAAUUAUUCAAAAUUCUGUCAAAAUCUAUCCUAUUGACAAGAA